AUCUGUAAAUCGAUCCGAUUUUACUUAAGCUGAACAGUUUUUUUUUUAUCAAAUUAUAUUAAAAAUUCAACAGUUUAAAAUUAACUUAACUAAUUUUAUUUUCUUAGCACGUAUAAAUUUUAUAAAAAAANUUGGGCUACUAUACUCUUAUGAGUACGAUCAUUUUCGUACUUAUAUAUCGUUUCGAUGAUAAAGCAUCCGAAUCGAUGAUCCAUACCAUUAAAUAUUAUCUAGAGUAUUUAAAAUUUUUAAACAUUAAAUUUCAUAAUUUUUUUUACAUUAUUUAUCUUACGAUCAAAAAAUCUCAAAAUUGAUAAUUUGAAACGAUCGGUAUGAGAUUCUUGUUAGUUUAACGGUGUGAAAGUAUCGGUAUGAGUUGAAUUUUUGAUAAAAAAAAUUUUAUUCACUGUCUAGAUAAAGAUCAAUAACUCUGAUCUCAAAUUAAGAAUCCGAUUAUUUAUUUUUAAGAUGUCGUUUGAUUUUGACUAUUCAUUUUAUACUCGUUUGAUGAACUUUGUUACAAUUUUGAAAAAUUAUAAAAUUUAAUUUCUGAAAAUUUUAAAUAUUUUAGAUCAUAUUUAAUGAUAUGGAUUGAAUACGAAAAAAUUUAUACUAAUAAGAAUAUAAUAGACCUAUUUCUUUAUCGGAUCUAAUUUUUAAAACAUUAAUUUAUUCUCGUGGGUGCGUGUGCGGAGGAGCUAAAUAACAUUCUUGAUAUUCGUCGCUAGUGUGAUUAGUUGCACUGGACCAAUAAUGAGGUAUAGGUCGUAAUCCUACCUACGAACAUUCAAAGACCAACUCAUUUUUAAUUAUCUCCUCACUUUUUUCUUUUUAAUGUUAAAGAUAAAAAAAUAGAUCAUUCUUAGAGCAAGUGGCAAAGAACUUGAUGAGUGGUAUCUGAGACCUAAGUUCGAAUCCUACUUGAUUCACAUUUUCAGCUAAGUUUAUUUCUAAAUAAAAUAAACAAAGCGAGUAGCGCGCUAUCUAUCUGUCUAAAAAAAUAUUAAAGAUAAAAAAAGUACACAAAAUUCUUGAAUAUUUAGUUUACCAUCUAAAAAAAAGGGAAUACUACAACUCUUUAUGUUUGAGUUAAUCGACACAUGUUAAAUUUUAAUAUUUAAAAAAAUUGUUGAUAGAACCAUAGUUAGUAAAUUCGCGAAUUAUUUGCGAAUUAUUCACGAAUUUUUGAAAAAACGAAUUAAACGAGCGUUUUCGUAUUUUUCCGAAAAAUUCGGAAAAAAACGUGAAUUUUUGAAGAAAAAUAAUUAUUCA
rnacentral:lncRNA from 1 species